AUUACUUCAACAUCAAUGGAGUUUUUACAACUGACUUCCCAGCUAACCCACCUCAUGUUUUCAACUACACUGGAAGUGGGCCGUCGAAUCUGCAGACAACAAGGGGGACUAAGCUGUAUAAGCUGAAAUUUAACUCAACAGUGGAGCUGGUUUUGCAAGAUACCGGAAUCCUCACCGCAGAAAACCACCCUAUUCAUCUACAUGGGUUUAAUUUCUUCGUGGUUGGAAGAGGAAUCGGGAACUAUGACGCUAAAAAUGACCCCAAAUCGUUCAAUCUCGUCGACCCUGUUGAGAGAAAUACCGUCGGAGUUCCUUCCGGUGGAUGGACGGCCAUCAGAUUUAGAGCCGAUAAUCCAGGUAAAUAAAUCAUCACCUCAUUUGUUUUUAAUUAUUUGACAUCAUUUUUUCAAAAUACAAACAAAUUAUUUAACCUCCACUAAUAUUUGAAAUUAGUUUUAAUAACAUGAUGAUUAUGUUUGUAAUUGUAACAUUAAAUUGUAUAAACCCAUCAAAACUCUAAAAGAAAUUGUUAGUAAAUGUGAAUAAUUAUGUUUUUUUCUUUUCUUCUGUAGGAGUUUGGUUCAUGCAUUGCCAUUUGGAAGUGCACACAACAUGGGGAUUAAAGAUGGCUUUCUUAGUGGAAAAUGGAAAAGGACCAAACCAAUCAAUAAUUCCACCUCCAAAGGACCUCCCUAAAUGUUAAGAGUCCACAAACAAAAUCCCAAUUUUCACAACCACCAACCCAUUCCCCCAAUUCUAAUAAUAAAUAUCACAUCAUCAAAUAUAAAGCCCAUUGAGAAGACAAGAGAGAAACAAGAAUGUAGCCUUUGUUGGCUCUUU
rnacentral:lncRNA from 1 species